rnacentral:rRNA from 1 species
UGAUGUUCUAACGUGGACCCGUUACCCGGGUUGCGGACAGUGUCUGGUGGGUAGUUUGACUGGGGCGGUCUCCUCCUAAAGAGUAACGGAGGAGCACGAAGGUUGGCUAAUCCUGGUCGGACAUCAGGAGGUUAGUGCAAUGGCAUAAGCCAGCUUGACUGCGAGCGUGACGGCGCGAGCAGGUGCGAAAGCAGGUCAUAGUGAUCCGGUGGUUCUGAAUGGAAGGGCCAUCGCUCAACGGAUAAAAGGUACUCCGGGGAUAACAGGCUGAUACCGCCCAAGAGUUCAUAUCGACGGCGGUGUUUGGCACCUCGAUGUCGGCUCAUCACAUCCUGGGGCUGAAGUAGGUCCCAAGGGUAUGGCUGUUCGCCAUUUAAAGUGGUACGCGAGCUGGGUUUAGAACGUCGUGAGACAGUUCGGUCCCUAUCUGCCGUGGGCGCUGGAGAACUGAGGGGGGCUGCUCCUAGUACGAGAGGACCGGAGUGGACGCAUCACUGGUGUUCGGGUUGUCAUGCCAAUGGCACUGCCCGGUAGCUAAAUGCGGAAGAGAUAAGUGCUGAAAGCAUCUAAGCACGAAACUUGCCCCGAGAUGAGUUCUCCCUGAGACUUAGAGUCUCCUGAAGGAACGUUGAAGACGACGACGUUGAUAGGCCGGGUGUGUAAGCGCAGCGAUGCGUUGAGCUAACCGGUACUAAUGAACCGUGAGGCUUAACCUUACA